UAGUUUAUUUUAAUAUAUAACUUUUUAUGUUUAAAAAUAAUAAAUAAAUAAUUUUUUAUGUAUAGUCAAAGAUGAGUCAAUUUGACUAGUUAAAAGUCAAAUGUGACAUGUAUUUUGAGACGGAGGGAGUAAUAAACACUAUUACACUCAUUAUUUUCCUUCACUAUCUCAAAUCUAUUAUUAAAUAUUGGUAGGUACCACCACUUUACCCACUUUUCAACUAAACUUACUAUAUGUUUAUCGCCGUGAAAGUCAAACUAGCUCACUGUUUUUGAGACGAGGGAAUAUAAGAGCAUCUCCAACCAUCAAGACUCCUUAGCUAAAAGGUGAGUUGUCAUGCCAAAAAUAAAAAAUUUAGUCAACCACUUCAAAAGUUCACACUCCAACCAUGGUGACCUGUUGUCUAUAAAUUUAGCCAACCUUCUAUGGAUGGCUAAAUUUGUCGAACCUCUACAGUUCUGUAAGAAAUCUGUAGGAUGAUUGCACAUCAUUUAUUACCAUAUUGAACUGAUAUAUUCUAUUUUAACAAUCUAAAAUAUUAAUAACAUACUAUCUUUAAAUUAUAGCCAACGAAUAUAGGAAAUACCAUUGAAGCGAAAUGUCUUACAGGUUCAGCAAAUUUUACAUAACGUCUUACCGGUCCAAUUUAGCCAACUAUUAUAGCCAACACCGUUGGAGAUGCUCUAAAAGUACCUUGCAAUUUCGAUAUUUUUUUCGAAGUACUCCCUUUUUUGAACUCUUGCCGUGUUUCAUUUUCCGGCCGUCACGCACAGAUGAUACUCUAAGAAAAUCCAUAUAAAAACCUAACCAUGGUCGAUACUGCCGCACAACAACCAUCAUGUCCUCCGUGCUUCCACUUUUAGGAUCAAUUUUAUGAUUUCAAUUAUCACACACACACAAAUACAUACAAAGAAAGGAUGGUUAUGUUUAAGUUUCUGCCAAACAUCGUAACCGGAUCUGAUACCGGCCUCAAGGAUCUUCCUUCAUCAUUCGGAGAGUCUUAUUUGGAAAGAUUGUGCUUUUGCAAUUUAUUUUUAAACAUUAAAAUAUUUUUACAUGGUGCCUCCUCAUCUAACCCUAAUUCUCUCUAGAGCCUAGCCUCUCUCUUGCUGUAGCCGCCUGGGGCUUCCAUCGGUUUUCACCGGUGGAAAGCCCCAAAUCAGUUAAUUACUUUGCUUUCUUUAUAGUUUUCGAAUAAUACUUCUUUUCUGAAAUUUAGAUCGAAGACUAUCGGAGAUUUCGCUGUUUCUCUUCCAAGUGGGUGGGUUUUCAGUCCGAUUUCUCUUGUUUUUGUGGUUCUGUUCCAGAUCUAUUCUCGAAAAGAUUCUUAGAUCUAAAACCAUCGGAGAUUUCGCUGUCUUUCCACUAUGUUUCAAUCGGGUGGAUUUUUAGUCUGAUUUCUCUUGUUUUUGUGGUUCCGCUCCAGAUCUAAGUUCUGGUCGAUAGCUCAAACGAUAGCUCUAUUAGGGCAUGAUGAAGAGGGUACCGGUGAUUCAACGAGGAUGCAUGAAGCGGGUAUUUGUAUUUGUAUAUAUUUAAUCUUCAAAAUAUCGUUUAACUGUCUCUUCAUGAGAACAGGCGAUUGCAAUUUCCAGUUUAUUCGACUCGAUCAUUGGUGUA